rnacentral:rRNA from 1 species
GACGAACGCUGGCGGCGUGCUUAAUACAUGCAAGUCGAACGGAAAGGCCCUGCUUUUGUGGGGUGCUCGAGUGGCGAACGGGUGAGUAACACGUGAGUAACCUGCCCCUGACUUUGGGAUAACUUCAGGAAACUGGGGCUAAUACCGGAUAGGAGCUCCUGCUGCAUGGUGGGGGUUGGAAAGAUUCGGUGGUUGGGGAUGGAGUCGAGGCUUAUCAGCUUGAUGGUGGGGUAGUGGCUUAACAAGGCUUUGAAGGGUAGCCGGCCUGGGAGGGUGACCGGCCCCAUAGGGCUUGGGAAGCGGCCCAGAGGCAUACGGGCGGCAUGGGCGGGGAAUAUAGGACAAAGGGCGGAGGCAGGAAUGAGCAUCUCCGGGUGCGAGAAGUCGGCUUUCGGGUUAUAACCCGUUUUCACGUGUGAGGGAGCAUCAUGGACGGAAAUGGGCAGAGAGACACCGCUAAACAAGGU